rnacentral:piRNA from 1 species
UUCCGGUGUCGCUCUGUGGUGGGAGC